rnacentral:rRNA from 1 species
CAGCCGCCGCGGGAAUACGUAGGGUGCAAGCGUUAAUCGGAAUUACUGGGCGUAAAGCGUGCGCAGGCGGUUAUAUAAGACAGAUGUGAAAUCCCCGGGCUCAACCUGGGAACUGCAUUUGUGACUGUAUAGCUAGAGUACGGCAGAGGGUGAUGGAAUUCCGCGUGUAGCAGUGAAAUGCGUAGAUAUGCGGAGGAACACCGAUGGCGAAGGCAAUCCCCUGGGCCUGUACUGACGCUCAUGCACGAAAGCGUGGGGAGCAAACAGGAUUAGAUACCCGCGUAGUCCCUGUCUCUUAUAC